rnacentral:rRNA from 1 species
UACGUAGGUGGCAAGCGUUGUCCGGAUUUACUGGGCGUAAAGAGCGCGCAGGCGGUCGUUCAAGUCGAGUGUGAAAGCCCUGGGCUCAACCCAGGAAGUGCACUCGAAACUCCCGAGCUGGAGUCCCGGAGAGGAAGGCGGAAUUCUCGGUGUAGAGGUGAAAUUCGUAGAUAUCGAGAGGAACAUCGGUGGCGAAGGCGGCCUUCUGGACGGUGACUGACGCUGAGACGCGAAAGCGUGGGGAGCAAACAGG